rnacentral:rRNA from 1 species
UACGUAGGGGGCAAGCGUUGUCCGGAUUUAUUGGGCGUAAAGAGCGUGUAGGCGGCCAUGUAGGUCCGUUGUGAAAACUCGAGGCUCAACCUCGAGACGCCGAUGGAAACCAUGUGGCUAGAGUCCGGAAGAGGAGAGUGGAAUUCCUGGUGUAGCGGUGAAAUGCGCAGAUACCAGGAAGAACACCCGUGGCUAAGGCGGCUCUCUAGUACGGUACUGACGCUGAGACGCGAAAGCGUGGGGAGCGAACAGG